rnacentral:rRNA from 1 species
CCCUUAGAUGUCCGGGGCUGCACGCGCGCUACACUGAAGGAAUCAGCGUGCUAAAACCAUUGUCGAAAGGCAUUGGUAAACCCAUUAAAAUCCUACGUGAUUGGGAUCGGGAAUUGCAAUUAUUUCCCUUGAACGAGGAAUUCCCAGUAAGUGUGGGUCAUAAGCUCGCGUUGAUUACGUCCCUGCCCUUUGUACACACCGCCCGUCGCUGCCCGGGACUGAGCCGUUUCGAGAAAAGCUGGGACUGCUGCUGUCGGGGCUUUCGGGCCUUGGCUUCGGUGGAAACCGCUUUAAUCGCAGUGGCUUGAACCGGGCAAAAGUCGUAACA